rnacentral:lncRNA from 1 species
AGUGCACGUAUAUGACUGUGUUGUGGGGUGUCUUGACGGCUGUGCUUUGGGGUACAGAGCAAGUCGGUGUCAUCAACGGACAGCCAGCAUGGUGAGGAGCGGGGGGGUCCCUCAGGAGAGUACGGACCUGCAGGCGGAGGUGAGACCAAGAGGAGGCGCUGUGACGACAAAGACUCCCUCCAGCACUAUGACAGUGACGGAGAUAAGAGCGAGGACAAUCUGGUGGUGGACGUGUCCAAUGAGGUAGGCAGCAGGGCGGCGCUGGGGUGGGCGGGGCGCCCCGAUAUCGCUGCCGUGAUGUUU